rnacentral:rRNA from 1 species
GGGGUGUUGAUAAGCAUAGGGUGGCGCGGCUACCAUGCAGUCGAGCGGUAGCACAGAGAGCUUGCUCUCGGGUGACGAGCGGCGGACGGGUGAGUAAUGUCUGGGAAACUGCCUGAUGGAGGGGGAUAACUACUGGAAACGGUAGCUAAUACCGCAUAACGUCGCAAGACCAAAGUGGGGGACCUUCGGGCCUCAUGCCAUCAGAUGUGCCCAGAUGGGAUUAGCUAGUAGGUGGGGUAACGGCUCACACCUUCAAUGACAUCUCACGUGACAUGCCGUUGUGUUCUCGAUGUGGGUUAGUACGUAGCUCUGGUACGUAACCCUAGGCGUCGUGCCUGGGUGGUCAGAGCAGCAUGACAAGCAGAAUAUGAAUCGAAUCUCGUUCCAGAAUCCUACGGGAGGCAGUAGUGGGAAUAUUGGCACAACCGGAGCAAGCAUGAAUGCAGACAUGUCUGGGAUGGGUGAUGAGGGCUUACAGAUCUUUAUAGCAGCGUCAGCGGGGAGGAAGGCGAUAAAGCUUAAUAAUCUUUGUCGAUUGACGUUACCGCCAGAAGAAGCACCGGCUAACUCCGUGCCAGCAGCCGCGGUAAUACGGAGGGUGCAAGCGUUAAUCGGAAUUACUGGGCGUAAAGCGCACGCAGGCGGUCUGUCAAGUCGGAUGUGAAAUCCCCGGGCUCAACCUGGGAACUGCAUUCGAAACUGGCAGGCUAGAGUCUUGUAGAGGGGGGUAGAAUUCCAGGUGUAGCGGUGAAAUGCGUAGAGAUCUGGAGGAAUACCGGUGGCGAAGGCGGCCCCCUGGACAAAGACUGACGCUCAGGUGCGAAAGCGUGGGGAGCAAACAGGAUUAGAUACCCUGGUAGUCCACGCCGUAAACGAUGUCGAUUUGGAGGUUGUGCCCUUGAGGCGUGGCUUCCGGAGCUAACGCGUUAAAUCGACCGCCUGGGGAGUACGGCCGCAAGGUUAAAACUCAAAUGAAUUGACGGGGGCCCGCACAAGCGGUGGAGCAUGUGGUUUAAUUCGAUGCAACGCGAAGAACCUUACCUGGUCUUGACAUCCACAGAACUUUCCAGAGAUGGAUUGGUGCCUUCGGGAACUGUGAGACAGGUGCUGCAUGGCUGUCGUCAGCUCGUGUUGUGAAAUGUUGGGUUAAGUCCCGCAACGAGCGCAACCCUUAUCCUUUGUUGCCAGCGGUUCGGCCGGGAACUCAAAGGAGACUGCCAGUGAUAAACUGGAGGAAGGUGGGGAUGACGUCAAGUCAUCAUGGCCCUUACGACCAGGGCUACACACGUGCUACAAUGGCAUAUACAAAGAGAAGCGACCUCGCGAGAGCAAGCGGACCUCAUAAAGUAUGUCGUAGUCCGGAUUGGAGUCUGCAACUCGACUCCAUGAAGUCGGAAUCGCUAGUAAUCGUAGAUCAGAAUGCUACGGUGAAUACGUUCCCGGGCCUUGUACACACCGCCCGUCACACCAUGGGAGUGGGUUGCAAAAGAAGUAGGUAGCUUAACCUUCGGGAGGGCCGGCCU